AUUCAGCUGAUGAGUCACAAAUAGGACGAAACAUGUGUCUUGGAU
rnacentral:hammerhead_ribozyme from 1 species